rnacentral:rRNA from 1 species
AUUAAACGCUGGCGGCAUGCCUUACACAUGCAAGUCGAACGGCAGCACGGGGGGCAACCCUGGUGGCGAGUGGCGGACGGGUGAGUAAAGCAUCGGAACGUAUCCUGGAGUGGGGGAUAACGUAGCGAAAGUUACGCUAAUACCGCAUAUUCUGUGAGCAGGAAAGCAGGGGAUCGCAAGACCUUGCGCUCUGGGAGCGGCCGAUGUCGGAUUAGCUAGUUGGUGGGGUAAAGGCCUACCAAGGCGACGAUCCGUAGCGGGUCUGAGAGGAUGAUCCGCCACACUGGGACUGAGACACGGCCCAGACUCCUACGGGAGGCAGCAGUGGGGAAUUUUGGACAAUGGGCGGAAGCCUGAUCCAGCCAUGCCGCGUGAGUGAAGAAGGCC